rnacentral:lncRNA from 1 species
GUUUAGGGGUACAUAUGCGGAAUGUGCAGCUUCAUUACAUAGUUAAGUGUGUGCCAUGGUGAUUAGCUGCACAGAUCAUCUCAUCACUUAGGUAUUAGGCCCAGCAUCCAUUGGCUGUUCUUCCUGAUGCUGUUUCUCCUGCCACCUCCCAUCCUCUACCAGGCCCCAGUUUGUGUUGUUUCCCACCAUGUGUCCAUGUAUUCUCAUCAUUCAGCUCCCACUUAUAAGUGAGAACAUGCGAUAUUUGGUUUUUUGUUCCUGUGUUAGUUUGCUGAGGACAAUGACUUCCAGCUCCAUCCAUGUCCCUGCAAAGGACAUGAUCUUGUUCCUUUUUAUGGCUCUGUAGUAUUCCACGGUGUAUAUCAACCACAUUUUCUUUAUCCAAUCUAUCAUUGUUGGACAUUUAGUUGGAUUUCAUGUCUUUGCUAUUGUGAAUAAUGCUGUAAUGAACACACGUGUGCAUGUAUCUUUAUAAUAAUGAUUUAUAUUCCUUUGGGUAUAUACCUAGUAAUGUGAUUGCUGAGUCAAAUGUAUUUCUGGUUCUAGGUCUUUCAGGAGUUGCCACACUGUCUUCCACAAUGGUUAUACUAAUUUACACUCCCACCAACACUGUAAAAGUGUUCCUUUUUCUACACAACCUCGCCAGCUUCUGUUUUUGUUUUUUUUUCCCCCCUUUUAAUAAGCUAUUCUAACUGGUAUGAGAUGAUAUCUCAUUGUGGUUUUGGUUUGCAUUUCUCUAAUAAUCUGUGAUGUUGAGCUUUUUUUCAUGUUUGUUGGUCACAUAUAUAUCUUCUUUUGAGAAGUGUCUGUUCAUGUCCUUUGCCCACUUUUAAUGGAGUUGUUUGUUUUUGUGUUGUAAAUUUAAGUUCUUUGUAGAUGCCGGAUAUUAGACCCUUGUCAGAUGGGUAGAUUGCAAAAAUUUUCUCCCAUUCUGUAGGUUGUCUGUUUACUCUGAUGACAAUUUCUUUUGCGUGGAGAAGCUCUUUAGUUUUAUCAGAUUCCCUAUGUCAAUUUUUGCUUUUGUUGCAAUUGUUUUUGGUGUCUUUGUCAUGAAAUCUUUGCCCAUGCCUAUGUCCUGAAUGGUAUCACCUAGGUUUUCUUCUGAAGUUUUUAUAGUUUCGGGUUUUACAUUUAAGUCUUUAAUCUACCUUGGGAUGAUUUUUGUAUAUGGUGUAAAGAAGGGGUCCCAUUUCAGUUUUUUGCAUAUGGCUAGCCAGUUCUCCCAGCACCAUUUAUUAAAUAGGGAAUCCUUUCCCCAUUGCUUGUUUUUGUCAGGUUUGUCAGAGAUCAGAUGGUGGUAGGUGUGUGGUCUUUCUGGGUUUUCUCUUCUCUUCCAUUGGUCUGUGUGUCUGUUUUUGUAACAGUACCAUGCUAUUUUGGUUACUGUAGCCUUGUAGUAUAAUUUGAAGACAGGUAGCAUGAUGCCUCCAGCUUUGUUCUUUUUGCUUAGGAUUGCCUUGGCUAUUGCAGCUUUUUUUGCUUCCAUAUUAGUUUUAAAAUAGUUUUUUCUAAUUCUGUGAUGAAUGUCAGUGGUAGUUUGAUAGCAAUAGCACUGAAUCUAUAAAUUGCUUUGGGCAGUAUGGCCAUUUUAACAAUAUUGAUUCUAUCCAUGAGCAUGGAGUGUUUUUCCAUUUGUUUGUGUCAUGUCUGAUUUCUUUGAGCACUGGUUCUUAGUUCUCUUUCAAGAGGUACUUCACCUCCCUUGUUAGCUGUAUUCCUAGGUAUUUUAUUCCUUUUGUGACAAUUGUGAAUGGGAAUUCAUUCAUGAUUUGGCUCUUGGCUUGCCUGUUAUUGACGUAGAGGAAUGCUAGUGAUUUUUGCACAUUGAUUUUGUAUCCUGAGACUUUGCUGAAGUUUCUUAUCAGCUUAAGCUUUUGGGCUGAGACUAUGGUUUUUUUUUUUUUUUUUAAUAUACAGGAUUAUGUCAUCUGCAAGCAAAGAUAGUUUGAGUUCCUUUCUAGCUAUUUGAAGUGGGGUUUUUUUUUAUAUAUAGGAUUACACCAUCUGCAAGCAAAGAUAGCUUGAGUUCCUCUCUAUCUAUUUGAAUGUCCUGUAUUUCUUUCCCUUGUCGGAUAAUCCUGGCCAGAACUUCCAAUACUAUGUUGAAUAGGAGUGGUGAGAGAGGGCAUCGUCUUGUGCCAGUUUUCAAAGGAAAUGCUUCCAGCUUUUGCCCAUUCAGUUGAUAUUGGCAAUAGGUUUGUCACAUAUGGCUUUUAUUAUUUUGAAGUAUGUUUCUUCAAUACUUAAUUUACUGAGACUUUUCAACAUGAAGGGAUGUUGAAUUUUAUUAGAGGCCUUCUCUGCAUCUAUUGAGAUAAUCAUGUGGUUUUUGUCUUUAGUUCUGCAUAUGUGAUUAAUUUCAUUUACUGCUUUGCAUAUGUUGAACCAGCCUUGCAUGCCAGGGAUGAAGCCUGCUUGAUCGUGGUGGAUAAGCUUUUUGAUGUGCUGCUAGAUUCAGUUUUCCAGCAUGUUGUUGAGCAUUUUUGCAUCAAUGUUCAUCAAGGAUAUUGGCCUGAAGUUUUCUUUUUGUUUUGUUAUAUCUCUGCCAGGUUUCAGUAACAGGAUGAUGCUGGCCUCAUAGAAUGAGUUAACAGAGGAGUUCCUUCUUUUCUGUUUUUCAUAAUAGUUUAAGUAGGAAUGGUACCAGCUCUUCUUUCUACCUGUGGUAGAAUUCAGCUGUGAAUCCAUCUGAUCCUGGGCUUUUUUGGAGUGGUAGGCUUUUUAUUAGUGCUGCAGUUUCAGAACUCAUUAUUGGUCUGUUCAGAGAUUCAAACUCUUACUGGUUCCAUCUUUGGACGAUAUACGUGUUCAAGAAUGUAUCCAUUCUUCCAGAUUUUCUCAUUUGUAUGCAUAAAGGUCUUUAUAGUAUUCUCUGAUGGUUGGUUGUAUCUAUUUUAUUAAUUUUUUCAAAAAACCAGCUCCUGGAUUUGUAGAUUUUUCAAAGGUUUUUUUUUUUUUUUCUGUCUCUGUCUCCUUCAGUUCCAUUCUGAUCUUGGUUAUUUCUUGUGUUCUGCUAGCUUUGGGGUUUGUUUUCUCUUGGUCCUCUAGUUCUUUUAGUUAUUAAUUUGAGAUGUUUCUGGCUUUUUGAUGUGGGCAUUUAGUGCUAUAAAUUUCCCUCUUAACAUUGCUUUAGUUGUGACCCAGAGAUUCUGGUAUGUUGUAUCUUUGGUCUCAUUAGUUUCAAAGACAUUCUAGAUUUCUGCCUUAAUUUCGUUAUGUACUCAAGAGUCAUUUAGGAGCAGGUUGUCCAGCUUCCAUGUACUUGUAUGGCUUUUAGUGAAUUUCUUAAUCUUGAAUUCUAAUUUGAUUUUGCUGCGGUCUGAGAGACUGUUAUGAUUUCAGUUAUUUUGCGUUUGCUGAGAAGUGUUUUACUUCCGAAUAUGUGGUUAAUUUUAGAGUAAAUGCUGUGUGGUGAUGAGAAGAAUGUAUAUUCUGUUGUUUCAGGGUGAAGGAGUUCUAUGGAUACCUAUCAGGUCCACUUAUUCCAAAGCUAAGUUAAUGUCCUGAAUAUCUUAGUUAAUUUUCUGUCUCUGUGAUCUGUCUAAUAUUGUCAGUGGCUUGUUAAAGUCUCCCAUUAUUGUUGUGUGGGAGUCUAAAUCUCUUUGAAGAUCUCUGACCCCUUACUUUAUGAAUCUGGGUGCUCCUGCAUUGGGUGCAUAUGUAUGUAGGAUAGUUAGCUCUUUUUGUUAAUUGAACCCUUUACCAUUAUGUAAUCUAGAAGGUCUUUGAAAUGUAAGAGCAUUGUGUAAUGCUCUUCUUUGUCUUUUAUGAUCUUUGUUGGUUUAAAGUUUGUUUUGUCAGAAACUAGGAUUCCAACUCCUGCCUUUUGCUGUUUUCCAUUUGCUUGGUAAAUUUUCCUCCAUGCCUUUAUUUUGAGCCUGUAAUGAGUCUUUUAAAUACAGUGUACCAAUGGGUCUUGAUUCUGUAUCCAUCUUGCCAUUGUGUGUCUUUCAUUGGGGCAUUUAUACCAUUUACAUUUAAGGAUAGCAUUGUUCGCCCACUUGCCAUAAAAAAUGAUGAGUUCAUGUCCUUUGUAGGGACAUGGAUGAAGCUGGAAACCAUCAUUCUCAGCAAACUAUCGUUAAGAACAAAAAACCAAACACCGCAUGCUCUCACUCAUAGGUGGGAAUUGAACAAUGAGAACACAGGGACACAGGAAGGGGAACAUCACACACCAGGGCCUGUUGUGGGGUGCGGGGAGGGGGGAGGGAUGGCAUUAGGAGAUAUACCUAAUGUUAAAUGACGAGUUAAUGGGUGCAGCCCACCAACAUGGCACAUGUAUACAUAUGUAACAAACCUGCACGUUGUGCACAUGUACCUUAAAACUUAAAGUAUAAUAAAAAAAAAAAGGAUAGCAUUGUUAUGUGUAGAUUUAAUCCUGUCAUCAUGAUGCUAACUGGUUUUUUUGCAGACUUGUUUUUAUGGUUACUUAAGUGUGUUUUUGUUGUUGCUGGUAAUAGUUUGUCCUUUCCAUAUGUAGUGUGCUUCCUUCAAGAGCCCUUACAAGGCAGGUCUGGUGGUAAUGAAUUCUCUCAGCAUUUGCUUGUCUGAAGAGGAUUUUAUAUCUUCCUCAUUUAUGAAGUUUAGUUUGGUCGGAUAUGAAAUUCUGGGUUGGCAAUUCUUUUCUUUAAGAAUGUUGAAUGUUGCCCCCCUAUCUUUUCUGGCUUGUAGGGUUUCUGCUGAGAGGUCCACCGAUAGUCUCAUGGGCUUCCCUUUGUAGAUGAACUGGCCUUUCUCUCUGGCUGCCCUUAACAUUUUUUCUUCAUUUUGAACUUGGAUAAUCUGAUAAUUAUGUCUUGGGGAUGAUCUUCUCAUGGAGAAGUUCUGUGGGGUUCUCUGCAUUUUCUGAAUUUGAAUGUUGGCCUGUCUUGCUAGGUUGGGGAGUGUCUCCUGGAUGAUAUCCUGAAGUAUGUUUUCCAACUUGUUCCAUUCUCUCCCUCACUUUCAGGUACCCCAAUCAUUCAUAGAUUCAGUCUCUUUACAUAAUCUUGUAUUUCUCGGAGGAUUGUUCAUUCCUUUUCAUUCUUUUUUCUCUAUUCUUGUUUGCCUGUCCUUAUUCAGAAAGCCAGUCUUCUAGCUCUGAGAUUUCUUUCCUCCACUUGGUCCAUUCUGCCAUUAAUACUGUGAUUGAAUUGUGAGGUUAUACUGUGUUUUUCAAUUCUAACUGGUCAGUUAUGUUCCUCUUUAAACUGGCUGUCAGCUCCUGUAUUGUUUUAUUCUGAUUCUUAGCUUUUUUGCGUUCAUUACAACAUGCUCCUUUAGCUCAGCAAAGUUUGUUAUUAUCCAUCUUUUGAAUCCUACUUCUGUUAUUUCAGGCAUCUUAGCCUCAGCCCAGUUCUGAGCCCCUGCUGGAGAAAUGCUGUGGUCAUUUGGAGAAAACGGCAAUCUGGCUUUUUGAGUUUUCAGGGUUUUGCACUGAUUUCAGGGUUUUGCACUGAUUUGCAGGGUUUUGCUCUUCUUUGUGGGCUUAUCUACCUUCGAUUUUUGAGGUUGCUGACCUUUGGAUGGGGUUUUGUGGUUUUUCUUCAUUGUUGUUGUGUUUUCUGUUUGUUUAUUUUUCUUUUAACAGUCUAGCCUCUCUUCUGUAGGGCUGCUGUGGUCUGCAGGGGAUCUGUUUCAGAACCUAGUUGGCUUUGGUUCUUCCUGUACCUGGAGGUAUCACCAGUGAAGGCUGCAAAAAACAAAGAUGGCAGCCUGCCCCUUCCUCUAGACCCUCCAUCCUAGGGCGGCACUGACCUAUUGCCAUCCUGAAUGCACCACUUCCCUUGGCUGUGAGUAGAUGUUCCCUUAGCUCUAUGUCACUCUCAGGUUGGCCAUCGCCCCACCCUGCUUUUCUUCAGUUUUCAUGGGUUGUUUCCUAAUCAGUACUGUUACACAAACAGACACAUAGACCAAUGGAAGAGAAUAGAGAACCCAGAAAUAAGACCACACACCUACCACCCAAUGCGACUAUCUGGAUAUUUCAGUUGAAGGUGCUAUAUCCACUGGCCCCUUUCAUUCCUCUUCGAGAGUGCUUAGGAGCACAGUUGCUUCUAAUCAGCCAUCUUGGCACCCUCCUUCACAGGCAUUUUCUCUUGCUCCCUCUGUAGUCCAUCUUGCCCUAUACCCCAGCUUCAGGCAACCACUAAUGUGCCUGCCUAGCCUAGGUUAACUUUUUAAGAAACUGCAAAAUAGUUUUCUAAAGGCCUAGUACCACACUGUACAUUGACAGGUGUCAGGUUGCUCCAUAUACUUACCAAUAGUUGGUAUUGUUGUUCUUUCUGAUUUUAGUCGUUCUGAUGGAUUUGUAGAUGUAUUCUACUGUGAGUAUAAGUUCCAUUUUUCUGAUACCUAAUAAUAUUGAGUAUCAAUUAUUUGCUUUUUGGCCACGUGUGUAUCUUCUUUUGUGUAGUGUGUCUAGUCAAUAUUUCUCCUAUUUUAAAAAAUCAUUUUAUUGAGGUAUAAUUAACAUUCAGUAAGCUGCAUAUAUUUAAAAGCAUGCAAUUUUAUAUGUUUUGAUUUACCUGUGAAACCAUCACAAUUAAGAUAGUGAACUUAUCCUCCAUCACUCCUUUGUAAUCACCCCCUACCUCGCAUCCACUCUCCCUCCCUCAGGCACCCACUUAUUGUCACUGCAGACUAGUUUGCAUUCCUAGAGCUUUCUAUAAAUAAAAUCGCUUACAGGAUAUGUACUUUCUGUCUGGCUUCUUUCACUCUGCAUAAGUGUUCUGACACUCAUGUUGUUGCAAGUAUCACUUCUCUUUGUUGCUGAAUAGUAUUCUAUUAAAUAUUAUGGUUUCUAUGAAACAAUUUGACUUUUCAUUCACCUAGUGAGGGAUAUUUUGGUUGUUACCAAUUUUUGACUAUUACAAAACCAGCUGCUGUGAAAAUUCAUGUAUAAGUCUUUGUAUGGACGUAUUCUUUCAUUUCUUUUGACAGUAGAAUGUGUAGAUCUAUGGUACAUUUAUGCUUCACUUUUUUAAAUUAAAAAUUUAUUUUUAUUUUUUUGGGGCACGUAGUAGGUUUAUAUAUUAAUGGAGUACAUGAGAUAUUUUGAUAUAGUAUAUAAAGCGUAAUAAUCACAUCAGAAUAAAUGGGGUAUCCAUCACCUCAAGCAUUUACCCUUUUUGUUACAAACAAUUCAAUUAUACUUUUUGUUAUUUUUGAAUGUGUAAUAAAUUAUUAAUUACUGUAGCGAUCCUCUUGUGCUAUCAAAUACUCUUUUUCAUUCUAUCUAUAUUUCUGUACCCACUAACCAUCCUGACUUCCCCCACCACACCCCACUACCGUUCUCAGCCUCUAGUAAGCAUCAUUGUACUCUCUCCAUGAAUUCAAUUGUUUUAAUUUUUGUCUCCCACAAAUAAGUGAGAACAUGUGAAGUUUGUCUUUCUGUGCUUGGCUUAUUUCACUUAACAUAAUGACCGCCAGUUCCAGCUGUGUUAUUGUAAAUUACAGGAUCUCAUUCAUUUUUAUGAUUAUAUAGUACUCUAUUGUGUAUAUGUUAGCACGUUUUCUUUAUCCAUUUCUGUGUUGAUGGACACUUAGGUUGUUUCCUAAUCUUGGCUAUUGUGAAUAGUGCUGCAAUAAACGUGGGAGUGCAGAUGAUCUUGAUACAAAAAUUUCCUUUCUUUUGGUUAUAUACCUAGCAGUGGGAUUACUGGAUUAUAUGGUAGUUCUAUUUUUAGUUUUAUGAGGAACCUCCACACUGUUCUCCAUAGUGGUUGUACUAAUUUACACUUUCACCAACAGUGUACAAGGCUACCCUUUUCUUCACAUACUCACCAGCAUUUGUUAUUGUCUGUCUUUUGGAUAAAAGCCAUUUUAACUGGGGUGAGAUAAUGUUUUGUUGUAGUUUGGAUUUGCUUCUCUCUGAUGAUCAGUGAUGUUGAAUGGCUUUUCAAAUACCUGUUUGUCACUUGUAUGUCUUCCUUUGAGAAACAUCCAUUCAAGUCUUUUGCCCACUUUUUAAAUCAGAUCAUAAUAUUUUUUUCAUAUUGAGGUUAUUGAGUUCCUUAUAUAUUCUGGUUAUUAAUCCCUUGUCACAUGGAUAGUUUGCAGAUAUUUUCUUUGGGAUGCAGAUAUUUUCCCAAUCUUUGGGAUGUCUCUUUACUUUGUUGAUUGUUUCCUUUGCUGUGCAGAAGCUUUUUAACUUGAUGUAAUAACAUUUGUCCAUGUUUGCUUUGGUUGGCUGUGCUUGUGGGGUAUUAGUCAGGAAAUCUUUGCCCAGAACAAUGUCCUGGAGAGUUUCUCCAAUGUUUUCUUGUAGUACUUUCGUAGUUUGAGGUCUUAAAUUUAAGUCUUUCAUUGAUUUUGAUUUGGUUUUUGUAUAUGGUGAGAAAUAGGAGCCUAGUUUCAUUCUUCUGCAUAUGGAUAUCCAGUUUUCCCAGCACUGUCCUUUCUCCAGUCUAUGUUCAUGACACCUUUGUUGAAAAUGAGUUCGCUGUAGGUGUGUGGAUUUGUUUCUGGGCUCUCUAUUCUGUUCCAUUGGUCUGUGUCUGUUUGUCUGCAAGUACCAUGCUGUUUUGGUUACUAUAGCUCUGUAGUUUUAUUAAAGUAAGGUUAUAUGAUUCCUCCAGUUUUGUUCUUUUUAUUCAGGAUGGCUUUGGGUGUUCUGGAUCUUUUGUGGUUUUAUAUAAAUUUUAGGAUUUUUUUUCUAUUUCUUCAAAAAAUUUCAUUGGUAUUUUAAGAGAGAUUGCAUUAAAUCUGUAGAUUGCUUUGGGUAGUAUGGACAUUUUAACAAUAUUGAUUUUUCCAAUCCAUAAACAUGAAAUAUCUUUCCAUUUUGUUAUGUCCUCUUCAAUUUCUUUCACCAAUAUUUUAUAGUGUUCAUUAUAGAGAUCUUUGUUUUUUGGUUAAAUUAAUUCUUAAGAAUUUAAUUUUAUUUGUGGCUAUUGUAAAUUGGAUUACUUUCUUGAUUUCUUUUUCAGAAUGUUCACUUUUGGCAUGUAGAAAUGCUACUGGUUUUUGUAUGUUGGUUUUGUAUCUUGCAGCUUUACUGAAUUUGUUCAUCAGUUAUUAUAGUUUUUUGGUGGAGUCUUUAGGUUAUUCCAAAUACAAGAUCAUAUCAUCUGCAAACAAGGAUAAUUUGACUUUUCUCAUUCCAGUUUAGAUGCCCUUCAUUUUCUUUUCUUGUUUGAUUGCUCUAGCUAAGACUUCUAUAAUUCUGUUGAGUAACAGUGGUGAAUGUGUGCAUCCUUGUCUUCUUCCAGAUGUUAGAGGAAAGGCUUUCAGUUUGUCCCCAUUCAGUAUGAUGCUAGCUGUGGGUCUGUCAUAUAUGGCUUUUAUUACAUUGAGAUAUUUUCCUUCUGUACCCAGCUUUUUGAGGGUUUUUGUUAUGAAGGGAUGUUAAAUUUUAUCAAAUGUUUUUUCAGCAUUAAUUGAUUCUGUUGGUAUGAUGUAUCCUAUUGAUUGAUUUGCAUAUGUUGAACCAUUCUUGCCUCUCUGGGAUAAAUCUCACUUGGUCAUGAUGAAUGAUUUUUUUUUUUUUUUCUUAGAGAAGGAGUCUCGCUCUGUUGCCUAGACUGGAGUGCAGUGGCAUGAUCUCGGCUCACCGCAAGCUCCACCUCCCGGGUUCACGCCAUUCUCCUGCCUCAGCCUCCCAAGUAGCUGGGACUACAGGCACCCGCCACCACGCCCGGCUAAUUUUUUGUAUUUUUUUUAAGUAGAGAUGGGGUUUCACUGUGUUAGCCAGGAUGGUCUCGAUCUCCUGACCUUGUGAUCUGCCCACCUCAGCCUCCCAAAGUGCUGGGAUUACAGGCGUAAGCCACCACGCCCGGCCGAUGAAUGUGUUCUUGAAUUCAGUUUGCUAGUAUUUUGUUGAGGAUUUUUGCAUCAAUGUUCAUCAGGGAUAUUGGUCUGUAGUCUUCUUUUGAUGUGUCUUUGUCUGGUUUUGGUAUCAGGGUAAUACUGGCCUCAUAAAAUGGGUUUGGAAGUAUUCCUUCUUUCUCUAGUUUUUGGAAAAAUUUGAGUAGGAUUGGAAUAAGUUCUUUACAUGUUUGGUAAAUUCAGCAUUGAAGCCAUUGAGUCAUGGGCUUUUCUUUACCGGGAGACUUUUUAUUAUGAUUUUGAUCUCGUUACUUGAUACUGGUCUAUUCACGUUUUGUAUUUUUUCAUGGUUCAAUCUUAGUAGACUGUAUGUGUCUAGGAAUAUUUCUGUUUCUUCUAGGUUUUCCAAUUUCUUGGCAUAUAGUUUCUCAUAGUAGCCUUUAUUGAUCCUUUAAAUGUCUGUGGUAUCAGUUGUAGUGUCUCCUUUUUCAUCUCUGAUUUUAUUGAUUUGGUUCUUCUCUCUUUUUCUCUUAGACUGACUAAAGGUUUUCUUAAUUUUCUUUCUUUUCAGAAAAUGAACUUUUUCUUUCAUUGAUUUUUUUUGGCACUUAUUGGCUUCAAAUUCAUUUAUUUCUUCUCUAAUCUUAUUUCUUCUACUAAUUUGGGGUUUGGUUUGGUCUUCUAUUUUCUUUUGCUUUAUGAUGUAUCGCUGGCUUGUUAAAGCUUUUCUGCUUUUUUUGAUGUAGAUUCUUAUUCCUGUAAACUUUCCUCUUCAUACUACUUUUGCUGUAUCCCAUAGAUUUUUGGUGUGUUGUGUUUCCAUUUUUAUUUGUUUCUUGAAAUUUUUUUAUUUUUCUCCUUAAUUUCUUCAUCGAGCCACUCAUCAUUCAGAAGCAUAUCAUCUAAUUUCCAUGGUUUGUAUAGUUUACAAAAUUCCUCUUCUUUUUGAUUUUUAAUUUUAUUCCACUGUAGUAAGAGAAGAUACUUGAUAUCAUUCUAAUGUCUUUGAAGUUUUUACAACUUGUUUUAUGGCUUCAUAUAUGGUGUGUCCUUGAGAUAAUCCAUGAGCUGAGGAGAAGAGUGUUCUGCAGCCAUUAGAUUAAAUUUUCUGUGAAUAUCAAUUAGGUCCGUUUCCUGGAUAGUGCACAUAAGUUCAAAUUUUCUUUGUUGAUUUUCUCUCUACAUAAUCUGUCCAGUGCUGAAAUUGGGGUGUUAAAAUCUCCGGCUAUUGUACUGAAAUCUGUUUCUCUCUUUAGGUCUAAUAAAACUUGCUUUAUAUAUGUGGGUGUUCCAUUGGUUGGUAUAUAUUUAUAUAUUUAUUUAUUUAAUUAUACUUUAAGUUCCAGGGUACUUGUGCAGAAUAUGCAAGUUUGAUACAUAGGUAUACGUGUGUCAUGUUGGUUUACUGCACCCAUCAACUCAUCAUUUACAUUAGGUAUUUCUCCUAAUGCUAUCCCUCCCCACUCUCUCCACCCCACAACAGGCCCUGGUGUGUGAUGUUCCCCGCCCUGUGUCCAAGUGUUCUCAUUGUUCAAUUCCCAACUGUAAGUGAGAACGUGCAGUGUUUGGUUUUCUGUCCUUGUGUUAGUUUGCUGAAAAUGAUGGUUUCCAGCUUCAUCCAUGUCCCUGCAAAGGACAUGAACUCAUCCUUUUUUAUGGCUGCAUAGUAUUCCAUGGUGUAUAUGUGCCACAUUUUCUUAAUCCAGUCUAUCAUUGAUGGACAUUUGGGUUGGUUCCACGUCUUUGCUAUUGUGAAUAGUGCCAGAAUAAACAUACGUGUGCCUGUGUUUUUAUAGUAGCAUGAUUUAUAAUCCUUUGGGUAUAUACCCAGUAAUGGGAUUGCUGGGUCAAAUGGCAUUUCUGGUUCUAGAUCCUUGAGGAAAUGACACACUGUCUUCCACAAUGGUUGAACUAAUUUACACUCCUACCAACAGUGUAAAAGCGUUUCUAUUUCUCCACAUCCUCUCCAGCAUCCAUUGUUUCCUGACUUUUUUUUUUGAGACGGAGUCUCGCUCUGUCGCUCAGGCUGGAGUGCAGUGGUGCGAUCUCGGUGCACUGCAAGCCCUGCCUCCUGGGUUCACGCCAUUCUCCUGCCUCACCCUCCCGAGUAGCUGGGACUACAGGCGGCCGCCAGCACGCCUGGCUAAUUUUUUGUAUUUUUUAGUAGAGAUGGGGUUUCACCAUGUUACCCAGGGUGUUCUUGAUCUUCUGAUCUCAUGAUCCACCCACCUCGGCCUCUCAAAGUGCUGGGAUUACAGGUGUGAGUGACCGCACCUGGCCGUUUCCUGACUUUUUAAUGAUCGCCAUUCUAACUGGUGUGAAAUGGUAUCUCAUGGUGGUUUUGAUUUGCAUUUCUCUGAUGACCAGUGAUGGUGAGCAUUUUUUCAUGUGUCUGUUGGCUGCAUAAAUGUCUUCUUUUGAGAAGUGUCUAUUCAUAUCCUCUACCCACUUUUUGAUGGGGUUGUUUGUUUUUUUCUUGUAAAUUUGUUUAUGUGCUUUGUAGAUUCUGGAUAUUAGCCCUUUGUCAGAUGGGUAGAUUGCAAAAAUUUUCUCCCAUUCUGUAGGUUGCCUGUUCACUCUGAUGGUAGUUUUCUUUUGCUGUGCAGAAGCUCUUUGAUUAGAUCUCAUUUGUCUAUUUUGGCUUUUGUUGCCAUUGCUUUUGGUGUUUUAGUCAUGAAGUCCUUGCCCAUGCCUGUGUCCUUAAUGGUAUUCCCUCUGUUUUUUUCUAGGGUUUUUAUGGUUUUAGGUCUACCAUUUAAGUCUUCAAUCCAUCUUGAAUUAAUUUUUGUAUAAGGUGUAAGGAAGGGAACCAGUUUCAGCUUUCUACAUAUGGCUAGCCAGUUUUCCCAGCACCAUUUAUUAAAUAGGGAAUCCUUUCCCCAUUGCUUGUUUUUCUCAGGUUUGUCAAAGAUCAGAUCAUUGUAGAUGUGUUGUGUUAUUUCUGAGGCCUCUGUUCUGUUCCAUUGGUCUAUAUCUCUGUUUUGGUACCAGUACCAUGCUGUUUUGUUUACUGUAGCCUUGUAGUAUAGUUUGAAGUCAGGUAGCAUGAUGCCUCCAGCUUUGUUCUUUUGGCUUAGGAUUGACUUGGAGAUGCGGGCUCUUUUUUGGUUCCAUAUGGACUUAAAGGUAGUUUUUUCCAAUUCUGUGAAGAAAGUCAUUGGUAGCUUGAUGGGGAUGGCAUUGAAUCUAUAAAUUACCUUGGGCAGUAUGGCCAUUUUGAUUCUUCCUGUCCAUGAGCAUGGAAUAUUCUUCCAUUUGUUUGUGUCCUCUUUUAUUUCGUUGAGCAGUGGUUUAUAGUUCUCCUUGAAGAGGUCCUUCACAUCCCUUGUAAAUUGGAUUCCUAGGUAUUUUACUCUCUUUGUAGCAAUUGUGAAUGGGAGUUCACUUGUGAUUUGGCUGUCUGUUAUUGGUGUCUGUUAUUGGUGUAUAGGAAUGCUUGUGAUUUUUGCAAAUUGAUUUUGUAUCCUGAGGCCUUGCUGAAGUUGCUUAUCAGCUUGAGGAGAUUUUGGGCUGAGACAAUGGGGAUUUCUAAGUGUACAAUCAUGUCAUCUACGAACAGGGACAGUUUGACUUCCUCUUUUCCUAUUUGAAUACCCUUUAUUUCUUUGUCUUGUUUGAUUGCCCUGGCCAGAACCUCCAACACUGUGUUGAAUCCGAGUGGUGAGAGAGGGCAUCCUUGUCUUGUGCCGGUUUUCAGAGGGAAUGCUUCCAGUUUUUGCCCAUUCAGUAUGAUAUUGGCUGUGGGUUUAUCAUAAAUAGCUCUUAUUGUUUUGAGAUACGUUCCUCAAUACCUAGUUUAUUGAGAGUUUUUAGCAUGAAGGGCUGUUGAAUUUUGUCGAUGGCCUUUUCAGCACCUCUCGAGAUAAUAAUGUGGUUUUUGUCGUUGGUUCUGUUCAUGUGAUGGAUUACAUUUAUGAUUUGCGUAUGUUGAACUAGCCUUGCAUCCCAGAGAUGAAGCCUACUUGAUCGUGGUGGAAAAGCUUUUUGAUGUGCUGCUGGAUUUGGUUUGCCAGUAUUUUAUUGAGGAUUUUUGCAUGGAUGUUCAUCAGGGGUAUUGGUCUAAAAUUCUCUCUUUGUUGUUGUUGUUGUUGUGUCUCUGCUAGGUUUUGGUAUCAGGAUGAUGCUGGCCUCAUAAAAUGAGUUAGGGAGGAUUCCCUCUUUUUCUAUUGAUUGGAAUGGUUUCAUAAGGAAUGGUACCAGCUACUCUUUGUACCUCUAGUAGAAUUCGGCUGUGAAUCCAUCUGUUCCUGGACUUUUUUUGGUUGGUAGGCUAUUAAUUAUUACCUCAAUUUCAGAGCCUGUUACUUGUCUAUUCAGAGAUUCAAGUUCGUCCUGGUUUAGUCUUGGGAGGGUGUAUGUGUCCAGGAAUUUAUCCAUUUCUUCUAGAUUUUAUAGUUUAUUUGUGUAGAGGUGUUUAUAGUAUUCUCUGAUGGUAGUUUGUACUUCUGUGGGAUCCAUGGUGGUAUCUCCUUUAUCAUUUUUUAUUGCACCUAUUUAAUUCUUCUCUCUUUUCUUCUUUAAUAGUCUUGCUAGUGGUCUGUCAAUUUUGUUGAUCUUCUCAAAAAACCAGCUCCUGGUUUCAUUGAUUUUUUUUGAAGGGUUUUUUGUGUCUCUAUCUCCUUUGGUUCUGCUCUGAUCUUAGUUAUUUCUUGCCUUCUGCUAGCUUUUGAAUGUGUUUGCUCUUGCUUCUCUAGUUCUUUUAAUUGUGAUGUUAGGGUGUCGAUUUUAGACCUUUCCUGCUUUCUCUUGUGGGCAUUUAGUACUAUAAAUUUCCCUCUACACACUGCUUUCAAUGUGUCCCAGAGGUUCUGGUACACUGGUGUCUUUGUUCUUAUUUGUUUCAAAGAUCAUCUUUAUUUCUGCCUUCAUUUUAUUAUUUACUGGUAUAUGUUUAUUUAUAAUUGCUUUAUCCUUUUGCGGUAUUGACCUCUUCAUUAUAUAAUGACUUUGCCUCUUGUUUUAGGUUUUGUUUAGAAAUCGAUUUUGUCUGAUAUACAUAUGGUUAUUCCUGCUCUUUUUUGUUUUUUAUUAGCAUAGAAUAUCUUUUUUCCUCCCUUUAUUUUCAGUCUGGCUGUCUUUUUAAGUGAUGUAUGUUUCUUGUAGGCAGCAGAUCAUUGUGUGUUGUUUUUCUAUCCAUUCAGGCACUUUAUGCCUUUUGAUUGGAGAGUUUGGUUAAUUUACAUUCAGGGUUUUUAUUGAUAAAUAGAUACUUACUCUGGCCAUUUUGUUAUUUGUGUUCUAGGUGUUUUGUGUCCUCUCUUCCAUCUUUUCUUCUUUCCUGUCUUUCUUUUAGCAAAGAUGAUUUUCUUUGGUGGUUUAUUUUCUUGCUUUUAUUUUUGGUGUGUUUCUUAUAUGUUUUUUGAUUUGAGGUUACCAUGAGGCUUGAAAAUAAUAUAACUCAUUAUUUUAAACUGAUGUCAACUUAACAUCGAUUGCAUAAACAAAGAAACAAGCAAAGUGAAAACUAAUACAAACUCUAUGCCUUAACUUCGUCCCCUUUCUUGCUUUUUAACCUUGUCCUGUCUCUAUUGAUAGCUUAUUUUACUGUCUGUGAGUUGGAAGGUUGUUAGUAUUUUUGAUAGGUUCAUCUUUUAGUGUUUGUACUCAAGAUAUGAGUAGUUUACACACCACAGUUACAUGUUAUAAUAUUCUGUGUUUUUCUGUUUACUUACUAUUACCAGUGAGUUUUAAACCUUCAGAUGAUUUCUUAUGCUCAUUAAUGCCCUUUUCUUUCAAAUUGAAGAACUCCUU